AGCGAACGCUGGCGGCAGGCCUAACACAUGCAAGUCGAACGAAGUCUUCGGACUCAGUGGCGGACGGGUGAGUAACACGUGGGAACGUACCUUUUGGUUCGGAACAACUCAGGGAAACUUGAGCUAAUACCGGAUGAGCCCUUAGGGGGAAAGUUUUAUCGCCGAAAGAGCGGCCCGCGUUAGAUUAGCUAGUUGGUGGGGUAAAGGCUCACCAAGGCUACGAUCUAUAGCUGGUCUGAGAGGAUGAUCAGCCACACUGGGACUGAGACACGGCCCAGACUCCUACGGGAGGCAGCAGUGGGGAAUCUUGCGCAAUGGGCGAAAGCCUGACGCAGCCAUGCCGCGUGAAUGAUGAAGGUCUUAGGAUUGUAAAAUUCUUUUACCAGGGACGAUAAUGACGGUACCUGGAGAAAAAGCCCCGGCUAACUUCGUGCCAGCAGCCGCCGUAAAAC
rnacentral:rRNA from 1 species